rnacentral:tRNA from 1 species
GGAGGAGUGGCAGAGUGGUUGAAUGCGGCGGUCUUGAAAACCGUUGAGCGUGCGAGCGUUCCGGGGGUUCGAAUCCCUCCUCCUCCGCCA